AGCUCCAAGAAUACGCGGAGGAGGUGGCCCGGGUCGGCGUCGGCGCCGUCCGGCACGGGCCACGGGCCCGCUUCCAAGUGCGUUUGUGUGCCGGUCACCCACGCCGGGUCCUUCAAGUGUCGUUUCCACCGCACCAACUCCCAGGGCCAGGGAAGCCGCCCUUCUUCGCCCCCUUCACCCGCCGCGGCCAACGCGGUGCCGUGGCACCCGACUUCGCCGUCCUCGUCCUCCGGCACCGUCGCGAUCCAAUGA
rnacentral:rRNA from 1 species